rnacentral:rRNA from 1 species
UACGGAGGAUGCAAGCGUUAUCCGGAAUGAUUGGGCGUAAAGCGUCCGCAGGUGGCUGUGUAAGUCUGCUGUCAAAGAGCGAAGCUCAACUUCGUAAAGGCAGUGGAAACUACACGGCUAGAGUGCGUUCGGGGCAGAGGGAAUUCCUGGUGUAGCGGUGAAAUGCGUAGAGAUCAGGAAGAACACCGGUGGCGAAGGCGCUCUGCUAGGCCGCAACUGACACUGAGAGACGAGAGCUAGGGGAGCGAAUGGG